rnacentral:rRNA from 1 species
GAUGAACGCUGGCGGCGUGCCUAAUACAUGCAAGUCGAGCGAACGGACGAGAAGCUUGCUUCUCUGAUGUUAGCGGCGGACGGGAGAGUAACACGUGGAUAACCUACCUAUAAGACUGGGAUAACUUCGGGAAACCGGAUCUAAUACCGGAUGAUAUUUUGAACCGCAUGGUUCAAAAGUGAAAGACGGUCUUGCUGUCACUUAUAGAUGGAUCCGCGCUGCAUUAGCUAGUUGGUAAGGUAACGGCUUAGCAAGGCAACGAUGCAUAGCCGACCUGAGAGGGUGAUCGGACACACUGGAAGUGAGACACGGUCCAGACUCCUACGGUGGGAAGCAGUAGGGAAUCUUACGCGAUGGGCGAAAGCCUGACGGAGCAACGCCGCGUGAGUGAUGAAGGUCUUCGGAUCGGAAAGCGCUGUUAUUAGGGAAGAACAUAUGUGUAAGUAACUGUGCUCAUCUUGACGGUACCUAAUCAGAAAGCCCCGGCUAACUACGUG